rnacentral:rRNA from 1 species
GUCGCAGUAUCUGGCACUGCAGUCGCUCGGUCCGUUUCUGCAGCUUGCUGCCUGUAUGGAUAGUGGCAGACGGGUGAGUAAUGCAUAGGAAUCUACCUAGUAGUAUGGGAUAGCCACUAGAAAUGGUGGGUAAUACUGUAUAAUCCCUGCGGGGGAAAGAUUUAUCGCUAUUAGAUGAGCCUAUGUCAGAUUAGCUAGUUGGUGGGGUAAUGGCCUACCAAGGCGGUGAUCUGUAGCUGGUCUGAGAGGAUGAUCAGCCACACUGGAACUGAGACACGGUCCAGACUCCUACGGGAGGCAGCAGUGGGGAAUAUUGGACAAUGGGCGCAGCCUGAUCCAGCUAUGCCGCGUGAGUGAAGAAGGCCUUAGGUUGUAAACUCUUUCAGUAGGGAGAUAAUGACGGUACCUACGAAAAAUCCGGCCAAACUCAACCG